rnacentral:rRNA from 1 species
AUGUCCAAGGAGGAGGUGAUCGCCGGCGGCGACACGGCCGACGUGGCCGUGGAGAAGGCGCCCUACUGGGACCCGCCGCCGGCCCCGCUGCUGGACACGAGCGAGCUGACCCGGUGGUCGCUGUACCGCGCGGUCAUCGCCGAGUUCGUGGCCACGCUCAUCUUCCUCUACGUCAGCCUCGCCACCGUCAUCGGCUACAAGAGCCAGUCCGCCGCCCAGCCGGGCACCGGCGUCGGGUACCUCGGCGUCGCCUGGGCCUUCGGCGCCACCAUCUUCGUCCUCGUCUACUGCACCGGCGGCGUCUCAGGUGGCCACAUCAACCCGGCGGUGACGUUCGGGCUGUUCGUGGGGAGGAAGCUGUCGCUGGUGCGCACGGUGCUGUACAUCGUGGCGCAGUGCCUCGGCGCCAUCUGCGGCGCCGGCAUGGUGAAGGGGAUCGCGGGGGCCAGCUACGAGACCCUCGGCGGCGGCGCGAACUCGGUGGCCGACGGCGUCUCGAUCGGGGCAGGGCUCGGCGCGGAGAUCGCCGGCACGUUCGUGCUGGUGUACACCGUGCUCUCCGCCACCGACCCCAAGCGCACCGCGCGCGACUCCUUCAUCCCCGUGCUGGUGCCGCUGCCCAUCGGCUUUGCCGUGUUCAUCGUGCACCUGGCCACCAUACCCAUCACCGGCACCGGCAUCAACCCGGCCAGGAGCCUCGGCGCCGCCGUCAUGUACAACCAGCACAAGGCAUGGAAGGACCACUGGAUAUUCUGGGUGGGGCCGCUCCUCGGCGCGACGGUGGCUGCGUUGUACCACCGGUUCGUGCUGCGCGGCGAGGCCGCCAAGGCGCUGGGCUCGUUCAGGAGCACCGGCGCCGCCACCGCACGAACCUAA